CAAACACUUUUAAUCUUUUCCCUAUGCUUCUCUAGUUGUCCUUGCUCAGCCUUGAAGUUCCUAGAGAUGGUUCAAAGGACGAUCACAGCAGCAGAACUGCAGAGGAGUUACAAGGUAGAUAAGAAAGCAGUUCCCUUCAACCACAGGAGCACCUGCAGGAGAAGCUUGGACUGAGCUCUGAAGAAGAAAGCAGAAGAACCACAGUCACUGAAAGUGUUUUACACAGGAAUCCAGGCUGGAGUGAAUAAGCCUAUCAGGCUGGCACAGAGGAUUAGCAUGGUUGUCACAGGGUAGAAGAGAUGGUUGAACAAUGUCAACAUGAACAGCACAUCAGUCUUGCUGCCUCCUAAAUUGCCACAUAAUCAAUAUUCUCCCAGACUUAUCUUCCUUUUCUGAUGGCCAUUUAAGGCAGCACUGUCUGCUCAGCUCAGAUGUCUGCUGCUUCCCUUUGGUGUCUUUAACAAGGAGCAUCAGGAUCAUUUUCUCUGGAUAAUUGAACUCAUCUCUUACUGUACCUACUUGUGGUGAAUGUGUGAAUGGCAUGCUUUUUUGUGAUUGAGCAGCAAGAGAAAUGAAGUGGGAUGGCAACACUGCCCUGUAGUGGCUACAGGUCUGUGAAAUUUCAUCUUUACCCUGUUUCACUCCUUUCCUUUCUUCAAAGAGGAAGCACAGGUGAAAGAUGCUGACAGGCAAUUGUCCAUAUGAGUGCAUCUGUGUGCAGGAAUUUCUUGCAACAGUAUAAGUCCUUUGAAACAGUGGCCAAAUAUAAUCAGUCUGAAGACAGGAUGGGCAUUA
rnacentral:lncRNA from 1 species